AGACUUUUAUAUGUGUGAGCCUCUGUUAGCUUGAGUCUUCUGUUUUAUGCAGCCAAACUUAACCCUAACUGCCACACACCGUCUACUUACAUUUUAUGAUGCUCUCUCUAAUCUCUUAGGUAAUUGUAUCCUCCCAGAAACCUAUGGAGAGCUGAAGGGAUUUUAGGAACAUGGAAUCCACUCUCCUCCUUUGAUAAAAGAGGACAAAGGCCAGAGAGCUGUGCGAUGGCUGAGGCAGGCGAUUGUAAACCAAAAGGUGCCUGAGACUGAUAUCAAUCCAUUUAAAAGCUACAUCCCUUAGCUCAAUUUCCAUUUGGAGUGGCUUCUGGAAGGCUGGAAUUGAAAUCCACCAGUGCCCAUUUCAAGGUGUUCCCAACUUUGCCUGGAAAAAAAGGAGCCCGGAUACGCUUCCCUGUGGAUGCAGAAGAGCUUCAGCAUGAGGGGGGCAAUCCCUGCUGCCUUGUGGCUGCAAAAGGAGAGAGAAGGAGCCUCUCCAAAAAAGGGUUUCAUGAAAGCGCUGAGGCGAGAUACUUACUUCAGAGGGUUCAGGACAAGGACACUCACUUUGUUCUGUGUGGUGUGGAGACGCGGGUGAGCGUUCCUCAGUGGCACCAACUGGUUCCCUCUUGUCCUCAGCUUCCAGUGCCCUGGGACAUGUCAUUUGGACAAAACACUUUUCCAUGUCCUGCCAUCCAUUCCACAGGGGCAGGAGAAAAGGGUCUGGAGGCAGGAACAUAAGGCCGAUUCACCCUGACUUCGGAGAACUGAAUCAAAUGGAAAUUCUUGGGCUAUGACAGGAAAUAUC